rnacentral:rRNA from 1 species
AUUGAACGCUGGCGGCAGGCCUAACACAUGCAAGUCGAGCGGAUGAAGGGAGCUUGCUCCUGGAUUCAGCGGCGGACGGGUGAGUAAUGCCUAGGAAUCUGCCUGGUAGUGGGGGAUAACGUCCGGAAACGGGCGCUAAUACCGCAUACGUCCUGAGGGAGAAAGUGGGGGAUCUUCGGACCUCACGCUAUCAGAUGAGCCUAGGUCGGAUUAGCUAGUUGGUGGGGUAAAGGCCUACCAAGGCGACGAUCCGUAACUGGUCUGAGAGGAUGAUCAGUCACACUGGAACUGAGACACAGUACAGACUCCGACGGGAGGCAGCAGUGGGGAAUAUUGGACAAUGGGCGAAAGCCUGAUCCAGCCAUGCCGCGUGUGUGAAGAAGGUCUUCGGAUUGUAAAGCACUUUAAGUUGGGAGGAAGGGCAGUAAGUUAAUACCUUGCUGUUUUGACGUUACCAACAGAAUAAGCACCGGCUAACUUCGUG